rnacentral:rRNA from 1 species
ACCGGCAGCUCAAGUGGUGGCCAUUUUUAUUUGGCCUAAAGCGUUCGUAGCCGGUUUGAUAAGUCUCUGGUGAAAUCCCGCAGCUUAACUGUGGGACUUGCUGGAGAUACUAUUAGACUUGAGGUCGGGAGAGGUUAGGGGUACUCCCAGGGUAGGUCUUGAAUCCUAUAAUCCUGGGAGGACCACCUGUGGCGAAGGCGCCUAACUGGAACGAACCUGACGGUGAGUAACGAAAGCCAAGUGCGCGACCCG